rnacentral:rRNA from 1 species
AUUUAAAAAUAAUUUAAAUUUUUUAGAUAAAAAAUUAAAUUUAAAUAAAUAUAUAGGAAUAUAAAGUUUUUAGUAUAAAUUAGAAAAAAUAAAUUUUAAUUAUUUUAUUGUAAAAGUGUUUUUAAAUUAAAAAAAGAAAAUUUAAUUUAUUGUACCUUUUGUAUCAGGGAUUAUUAAUAUAAAGUAUUAUAAUUAAUAUUUCUCGAAUUAAAAAGAGUUAAUUUAAUAUUAUAGUUAAUGUGUAAAAAUUAUUAUUAAUAUUAGAUUUGAAGUGAAAUGCUAAUCGAUUUUUAAGAUAUCUAGUUUUUUAAUAUAAAAAUUUAAUUUUUUUAUAAAUUUAAUUAUAAAUUAUUUUAAAAUUUGUAAUUAUUUUAUAAUUUAUAAUUUGUGGGAUUAUCUACAAAUUUAGAUUAAAUAAUUUUUUAAUUAGUUAAAAAUUUAGAGAUUAAAAUUUUUAAAUUUAAGAGUAUGUAAUAAUUUAUUAUUUAAUGAAAAUUUAAUUUUUAAAUUAUUAAUUUAUUAUUAAAAUAAAAUUAUGAAUUUUAUAAAAUUUAUAAUAAUGAUAAUAUAAGUAUAAUAAUAUGUUAAAUUAAUUAAAUUAAUAAAUUAAUUUAAGGAAUUAAGCAAAAUUUAAAAUUCACUUGUUUAUCAAAAACAUGUUUUUUUGAUAUUAAUAAAAAAUUUUCUCUGCCCAAUGAAGAAUUAAAUGGCCGCAGUAUUUUGACUGUGCAAAGGUAGCAUAAUAAAUAGUUUUUUAAUUGAAGACUUGAAUGAAUGAGAGGAUGAAAUUUUAACUGUCUCAAUUUAAUUAUAAAAUUUUAUUUUAAGUAAAAAUUCUUAAAUUAAUUUAAGGGACGAGAAGACCCUAUAGAAUUUAAAAAUUUAAAUUAAUUUAAGAAUUAAAAUUAAGUUUGAUUUAAUUAUAAAUUUUUUUAUUGGGAUGAUAUUAAAAUUUAAAUAACUUUUAAUUGUUUAAUUCAAUAAUGUAUGAAUUAUAGAAUAUUUUAAUAAUAAUAAGAUAAAAUUACCUUAGGGAUAACAGCGUAAUAAAUUUUUAAAGUUCAAAUUAAAAAAUUUGAUUGCGACCUCGAUGUUGAAUUAAAAUAAAAUUUAAGUGAAGAAGCUUAAAAUUUGAGUCUGUUCGACUUUUAAAAUUUUACAUGAUUUG